AUGCGGAUUAAUUCGAUGCAACGCGAAGAACCUUACCAAGGCUUGACAUACACCGGUAACGCCCAGAGAUGGGUGCCCCUUUGUGGUCGGUGUACAGGUGGUGCAUGGUUGUCGUCAGCUCGUGUCGUGAGAUGUUGGGUUAAGUCCCGCAACGAGCGCAACCCUUAUCCCCAGUUGCCAUCAGGUAAAGCUGGGAACUCUGGGGAGACUGCCGGUGAUAAACCGGAGGAAGGCGGGGAUGACGUCAAGUCCUCAUGGCCCUUAUGUCCAGGGCUACACACGUGCUACAAUGGCCGGUACAAAGGGGCGCAAGACCGCGAGGUGGAGCAAAUCCCAAAAAACCGGUCUCAGUUCGGAUUGGAGUCUGCAACUCGACUCCAUGAAGUUGGAGUCGCUAGUAAUCGCAGAUCAGCAACGCUGCGGUGAAUACGUUCCCGGGCCUU
rnacentral:rRNA from 1 species